rnacentral:rRNA from 1 species
AUGAUAGGAAUGCUUAGUGGCGGACUGGUGAGUAACGCGUGAGGAACCUGCCUUUCAGAGGGGGACAACAGUUGGAAACGACUGCUAAUACCGCAUGACGCAUUUUGAUCGCAUGGUCGAAAUGCCAAAGAUUUAUCGCUGAAAGAUGGCCUCGCGUCUGAUUAGAUAGUUGGCGGGGUAACGGCCCACCAAGUCGACGAUCAGUAGCCGGACUGAGAGGUUGACCGGCCACAUUGGGACUGAGAUACGGCCCAGACUCCUACGGGAGGCAGCAGUGGGGAAUAUUGGGCAAUGGGCGCAAGCCUGACCCAGCAACGCCGCGUGAAGGAAGAAGGCUUUCGGGUUGUAAACUUCUUUUAAGUGGGAAGAGCAGAAGACGGUACCACUUGAAUAAGCCACGGCUAACUACGUGCCAGCAGCCGCGGUAAUACGUAGGUGGCAAGCGUUGUCCGGAUUUACUGGGUGUAAAGGGCGUGCAGCCGGGCAUGCAAGUCAGAUGUGAAAUCUCAGGGCUUAACCCUGAAACUGCAUUUGAAACUGUAUGUCUUGAGUGCCGGAGAGGUAAUCGGAAUUCCUUGUGUAGCGGUGAAAUGCGUAGAUAUAAGGAAGAACACCAGUGGCGAAGGCGGAUUACUGGA